rnacentral:rRNA from 1 species
UACGUAGGGUGCGAGCGUUGUCCGGAAUUAUUGGGCGUAAAGGGCUCGUAGGCGGUCUGUCGCGUCGGGAGUGAAAACUCAGGGCUUAACCCUGAGCCUGCUUCCGAUACGGGCAGACUAGAGGUAUGCAGGGGAGAACGGAAUUCCUGGUGUAGCGGUGGAAUGCGCAGAUAUCAGGAGGAACACCGGUGGCGAAGGCGGUUCUCUGGGCCGAUACUGACGCUGGAGGAAGCGAAGGCGUGGGAGCGAACAGG